rnacentral:lncRNA from 1 species
AUAUAUAUAUAUAUAUAUAUAUAUAUAGAUUAAACGUCUUUUUUUUGGCUAAUUAAUAUUUAUAUAAAUCGCUCAGAUAUUUUCCUAGAGCAAAUUAAAUAAUUAUAAUAAUUAAAAACAAUAAAAAACAAAAUGAAUGUUAUAACUAGUAGCUCCUCACAACUUGAUAAUUGUUAUGAAGAUUUGAGUAAACAGUAUACAAUAUCCAGUAAUUCUCACUUAAGUAUGGAUGAUUUAAACUCGGAAUAUAAACAAUUUUAUACAGUUGGUGAUAACAUGUAUGAUUAUGAUAACAGAAGUAAUCAAUCUAUGAAUGUGAACUGUAUGGAAAAUUCAGUUAGUUGUAUACAACCCAAGCCUAGAGUAUUUAUCCGCAGAGUUAGUAGUAAACGUAAAUUGAAUAAUAAAAAUUGUAAUAGUUCAAAAAAUGAUAUAGGUGCUGACAUAAAUCCUAAUAUGGUAUAUCCUAUUAAUUCAUUCCCAAAAACUAAUCCAGAAAAUGUAAUUUACAGUAUACCUUCUGUAAAUGAGCUUUCUUCAGAAUAUAAUGAAAAUUAUUCCUAUGAUGGAUCAAAUAGAAUGUCAAAUAUGAAUUUGUCAAAUGAUGUGAACUACUCUCAUAAUGGUUCUUUAACUAAUCUUAAUAACAAAUUCAUGAAUACUCCUAUAUGCAUCAAAGAACCUUACUAUGGUAAUAAAAUUUGUGAUUUCGUAAAUCAAGUAAACCCAAUGCAACAGCACGGAUUUAAUGUGAAUAAGCUAUUAUCACCUGUUUUACCACUAAAAUAUAGUAUUACUAUGGAAAAUACUAUAAGAUUUAUUCAAAUGCUUUUACAUAAUAUUAUGAAAUUAAUAAAACUGACUUGUAGAAAAAUGAAAAACGAGUUAAACGCAAAAGAAAUACGCGUUAACACAAAUGUAUCAAGAAAUAAUGAUAUGAACAUAUCACGUAAUGUAUAUACAGAUGGUUAUGGGAUUAUAGCGGGUAAUUUAAAAGAAAGAGAUUGCAUAAGUUUUUUUGAAGAACAGGAUGACAUAAAUGUCUUUAGUAGACUUUUUAAUUUGGUAACUAAAUGGCUAGAAUCAACUGAUUGUAAUAAUGUAGAUUUAUUAAAAAAUCGAAAGAAUGUAGGUGAUCUCAAGACAGAAUAUAACAAUGAAUGUAGUGAAGUUUAUUAUCAUACUGAUAGUUUUCCAAAAGAUGAUACAGGAAAAAUCCAAUUACCCAAAUUUUAAUUAAUUUCUUUGAUUUGUGUCAUAAUGGUGCAUAUAUAUAUGUAUAUGUCAUAAUUUUAAUAUUACAUAAGAGAAAAUAAAAAUUGAUGUACAUAUAAUUAUACUAUUCA